rnacentral:hammerhead_ribozyme from 1 species
GACUGGUUUCGCCCUGCCUUGGGUUCAUCAGGAGAACGGCUUCAGUUCCCAACCAGUG